ensembl:lncRNA
AGUGAGGCUGCAGCGCAAGGAGAAUUGGGGCUCCUCUUAAUGGGAGUCCUAGGAGACAGAUGUGUGACUGCGCUGGUCGAGGAAGCUUGCUCCCUGAAGGGGGAGGGGGCUUUGUGCUAGUGAGAAACUUAGAAGGAUAAGAGAGAGGAGGACAGGAAGAUGGGAAAAGGAGAGCCUGGAGAGAGAGCAAAUGUUCCAGGACAAAUCAUUUUGGAAAACGUGGUGCCUGCCAGCCAGCCAGGAAGUUCAUGUUGAGGACCAUUUUCUGUACAGGGUAGCCAUUCACCUUGGCUUUGACAAGGCUGGAAAAGAGACGAUGGAACUGAUGCCCGGGGCCCACAUCAUGCUAAUAUUCUUUAAAAAUGCCCAUUUGACUGUAGAGGUAUGAAUCAGCCAUUCUAAAGAUAUAGGAAUCAUGUAAGAAUCGAAUCGCCAGUCUAUGUCCGACGCAGGAUACAGCAUGCUUGGGGCUGGUGCACGGUGAUGACCCAGAGAGAUGUUAUGGGGAGGGAGGUGGGAGCGGGGGUUCAUGUUUGGGAACGCAUGUACACCCAUGGUGGAUUCAUGUCAAUGUAUGGCAAAACCAAUACAGUAUUGUAAAGUAAAAUAAAG